rnacentral:rRNA from 1 species
GACGAACGCUGGCGGCGUGCUUAACACAUGCAAGUCGAACGGACAGGCCCUGCUCUUGUUGCGUGCUCGUGUGCCGAGCGCGUGUGUAUCACGCGAGUAUCACGCCCUUAACUUUCUGAUAACAUCAGGAAACUCGGGCUCAUAUCCGAUAGGAGCUCCUGCUGCAUGGUGGGCGUUGGAAAAUUUCGGCUGUUGGGGCUGGACUCGCUGCUUAUCCGCUUGUUGGUGUGGUAGUGGCGUACCAAGGCUGUGACGGGUAGCCGGCCUGAGAGGGGGACCGGCGACAUUGGGACUGAGAUACGGCGCAGACUCCUACGGGAGGCAGCAGUGGGGAAUAUUGCACAAUGGGCGGGAGCCUGAUGCAGCAACCCCGCGUGCGGGAUGACGGCUUUCGAGUGGUAAACCGCUGUCGCCUGUGACGAAGCGUGCGUGACGGUAAUGGGUAAAGAAGCACCGGCUAACUACGUG